AUUCAAUUUAAUUCAAUUCAAUAUAAUUUCUUUCAUAUUGCCAGUGGGCCAUCCACACAACAUAAUCACAUGACAGAAAUAAAUCAUGGCAGAAAACAAGUGACAAUAAUAAUAAUAAUAACAUGUCGUUGUUAUAUAGCGCUUAAUGCCUUAACAAAGCCUCUAAGCGCUUCAAUGUACUAAUAUAUUGUCCAACAUCACUCCAAUAGUGCUUUAUGACCAGCAUACCCCACCCUACUGAAGUAGGCCUAUACAUCGCUGGUAGGGACAUAUCCACAAAGGUACUAAUGACCUGCAUACGCCACCAAAUAUGAUUGCUUAAAUUACUAUUUUACAUUAUUUGUAUCACAAUUUCUCUUAAUUAUGUUGAUUUAUAGUCAUUGAAUGUUGAUGUUAAAUCACUUUUAUUUCAAUUCAUAUGAAAUAUAUUCAUACAAAAAAUAUUGCAAUUUGCAUAACAUGAUACAAACAAUAAAAAAAAUUAAAGUAAUUACUGAAUAAAAAAGUAAUAAAUACUUCUCCCAAGGUUACAUCCUUAAAAGUGAUGAACUGGGCGAGAGAGAAUCAAGCAGAAAAAAAUUACUUUUGUUUGUAUUCCUACCCACUCAUUCAGUUUAAUUGUAUUAUUGUGCACUAGUAUUUUAUAUUAUUAAUGUUUAAAAUUUAAGAAUAAGAGUGGAUUUCCUUUGAAUGUUGAUUAAUAUGAUCAUAUGAGCUGUCAUUUAUUGAUUCACUCUCUUUGUUUCCAAUGUGUUACAGUUUAAAGAGACUCCACUUCACAACCUGUUAGAAGCCAAACACAAAUUCAGAGAUCACCUUGAUAUUGCAAGACUUCUUUUGGAUGCCGGGGCUGAUGUAAAUAUAAAGAAUGAGCUUGAGCAGUGGCUGAUCUAGGAUUAAAGAAUUGAGGAUGGCUAGGUAGUGUAUACAGGUUGUUCAUGGAGGCCUCGACCCCAGAACUUUCCACAUUCUGAGGUCUGUUAAUGAUGUUGAAGUCUCAUACAAAUAAAUAAAAUAAUUCUGGCUUUUCUGUUGACGGAUAAUAUCAACAAGACCAGAUGAAAUUAUUUGAUAAUAUGAUGAUAAUGAUUACAUUAACAGCAGCACAGUAUCAGUAGUGGAGCCUAAUAUGAGAGAAGAGAGUCCAUGGCUGGGGUGAAUGAGGGUGGGAAUGAGAUGAGCUUAAUUGUAGGUUAUUUGGUAAAAUGUAAACCACUCCACAAAGCAUCUUGACUUUAGAAAUGUUAACUUUGUUUCUAUUACUUGGUAUAAAGGGAUUGCUCUAGUCUAGGCCUAUGUAUUUUUGUGGGAAAGGUUAUCCACCCUAUUCAAUUCUCCCCAUCCUAGAUCUAUUCUUGCUUGAGUUAUUUAGCUGUUGUUGCUGCUUGAUUGAUUGACAAAGAUUCUGAAGACCACCGGUACAGUAAUAUUAGCACAACAAGCGAUUGUUUUGUUAAGGGAAUGGUCUUAUAAUCAAUACUUAUGAUUGAGUCUUUGCAAGAUAUAAAAGAAAAUUGCACUGAUAUGUACAUAUAAUAUUUCUUUUAGGAUACUUCUUGUGAUUAUUUUUGCGUGAUACUUUCUAUGAAGUAUUUUUUAAAGUAGAAUGAUCGAUUUUGAUUUGUUUUAAGUUUUAUGUGUGAUUAUUUUUACAGCACAAUCAGACGCCACGUGACCUCUAUAUAA